AUUGAACGCUGGCGGCAGGCUUAACACAUGCAAGUCGAACGAGUGGCGGACGGGUGAGUAAUGCUUGGGAAUCUGGCUUAUGGAGGGGGAUAACUACGGGAAACGGUAGCUAAUACCGCAUACCAUAGGAUGUGCCCAAGUGGGAUUAGGUUGUUGGUGAGGUAAAGGCUCACCAAGGCGACGAUCCCUAGCUGGUCUGAGAGGAUGACCAGCCACACUGGGACUGAGACACGGCCCAGACUCCUACGGGAGGCAGCAGUGGGGAAUAUUGCGCAAUGGGGGCAACCCUGACGCAGCCAUGCCGCGUGAAUGAAGAAGGCCUUCGGGUUGUAAAGUACUUUCGGUGGCGAGGCGUUACCCACAGAAGAAGCACCGGCUAACUCCGUGCCAGCCGCCGCGGUAAUUC
rnacentral:rRNA from 1 species